rnacentral:rRNA from 1 species
UUGAUCAAGCUACAAAGAGCACAUAAUGGAUGCCUUGGUGCCAAUAGGCGAUGAAGGACGUGGCUAACUGCGAUAAGCCUCGGAGAGCGGUAAACACGCUUUGACCCGGGGAUUUCCGAAUGGGAUAACCUGAGUGGG